ensembl:lncRNA
GUAUUGAAAUAAGCCAUUAAAAAAAAAGAACCCCUUUCACUGUCAUACAUAUGUGUGUUUUUUUUACUGCUGGCACAGCUCUGGGCCCAUCACUGCGCAGUUUCAUUACCCAUGAUGACACACUCACACUCACACACACACACAUACAAUGUUCUUCCCCUGUUCGGUGCACAUUUAAUCAACUAGGCGACAGCGUGCAGCGCGCUAUGCUGCUCCGUCCAGAUAAGAUUAUCCUUCAGCCGAAGGCUUGACAGUCAAUAGGUAGACCAGGAGUGUAAUUAGUGCAUUUGCGUGAAUGAAGGAAAACGAGUGAGAAAAAGGAAACGAAUAAGACAGAAAAAGAUAGUGGAGAUAGUGAAUGAGUGGGAGAGAAAGAGUUAUUGAUGUCGCCCAGCCUGUCCAGCCUGAGCACCAUGAGCGAGAAAACUGGCGUGCAGGGUGGGAAAACAUCUGCAGUGCAUCUCGGUCCCAUCCUCCGCAAGAAGCAUACGGAGUGGGCCGAGGCAGAGUUGACACACUGUGUGAGAAAAAGCCUACGCGGGUAACAGAGGAGCGAGGUGUUUGCGCCUGCUUAUUAAAACAAAGCACGUGCACAAGAUCCAGGGAGGCGAAGACAACGUUUACAGGAGGCCAACGGAGAGAGAAGGCAGGACUUUUUCACCACGUUUCCCGUCUUUGCUUAAGCCAUCGAAGCAGGUUUGCUGUUUCUAUAUUGACUUUGAUGGCCGCUCCCUUGACCUUUAAGUGAGACAAACUGUGCCGAGUUGUCCACCUGUGACUCAACCUGAUAGCUGUCAGCUCCAAGUUCCGGCUAAUGUGGGAUAAAGUGCUGGCCAGCUGAGGCACACGCCCAGGACCCAUGCCUCACCUCUGACAGCGCUAUUAAUCACCCAAACUAUUAUUAUUCAUCAGAUCAUUCCACAUGCAGACAGGACUCUGCACACACAGAUGAUGCACACCUACAAAUCAAAUGCAAGCGACAGAUCGAUGGACGCUUUCCCGAGGCGAACAUGUUGGUCAUAAGAGCAUGAGGAAACAGAGAACCAUAGGAAGUGUAGGAUGUUUAAUCUCUGAGGAUAUACGCUUCAUUUCCAUCAAAAACUGCUUUUUAAAAAGAAAAAAAAAAAAAGGUCAGCAUUAUUCAUAUUCAUCUAAAUGUUUUAUGCAUGUAAAAAGACUUCUGAUUGAUACAGUGCGUUGCCGUGAAGCAGCAUUCACCUCAUCUCUCUAAAUUGUUAUGCACAGGCAUGUGGAUACAGGCUACACCACAAAAGCUAACCGGUCUGUGGAAAACCAAUGUCCUCGCAGCAGUGAGGGACAGGCCUGACAACUUGGCUGACAUUUCUACGCGAAAAUUUCCCCUGACACCAGAUUCAGGUGCUGUCCCGUCAGAAUGAUGCUACACUUGUCUGGACUGAAAAAAAAAAAAAAAAAAAAAAAGAAAGUACGUAACUGCUGCGGAAGUCCAGUCAAACCGCCCCCCCCCACCCCCCAACCCCCCAGCCUCCACAGGGCUGGGCCCAAAACCAGUUAGCUGCUGGCAUUGAGGUGAAGGUCAAAGCCGUGUGCUAUGAAUUGCAGAACAGUGCACGCAGCUGCUACACCGUGUGUGUGUCACAAGAGAGUGGUGUGAAGAGCACUGUGACAUGCCACUGUGUGUGUGUGUGUGUGUGUGUGUGUGUGUGUGUGUGUGUGUGUGUGUGUGUGUGUGUGUGUGUGUGUGUGUGUGUGUGUGUGUGUGUGUGUGCGCGCGCGCGUUGUGUUUGAAUGGGAUGAAGGGGGGCUAAACAUAUGUCCAAUGACCGGUGUGUCAUUAGCUCUGUCCUCUCAAAGUGGGCAGAUGCACAUACUGUACAUCAACUCUGCGUGUGUGUGUGUGUGUGUGUGUCUAAAUGGUUGGUGGAGUGUCGCUACUUUGUGAGGGAUGUCCCAUAUUCCAUUAAACUCACCCACACACACACACACACACACACACACACACUUUUCCCCUCACUCACCUCCUCACAGAGAGCAGCAGCACUGAUACAAACACGUGCCCUGGAGCCUCCUCUUGUGUUUUCUCUUCUAAAAUCUGUGAUACAAAAAGUCUGGCACAUUUUCACAGUUUGAGCGAUCAUUUAAAUUGACUGUAAUCAUUAAUGAUCGCUGAGUCUACGUUUAGUACAUUUAAUUUAUGAGCGGCGCUAACUGCUGAAGUGCGGUUUGAAGUGGUCAAAGUGGUCAAAUUGAU